rnacentral:piRNA from 1 species
UGGGUAACUCGUUGGAAAUGGUAGAUG